CUUGAUGGCGUGGGAAGUGAAGGCAACAAGAUGCCUGGUCUUCUCUCCAAAGACCUUCAAGAUCUUUUGUGGAUUUCAGGGAAGAAAGAAUUCAGUGGGAGUCUGUAUCUGAUGCACUGAAGAGGAAUCACUAGAUGUUCAAGACGCUGUUGGGGUUGGUUCACACCGCUCCGAGAGGGUCCCCACCACCUGCAAGAACUUGGCAUGCCGUUCAUCAGUGCCUGCAACUGCUCCUUUGCUUCCCCACAGAAACUUGAGGUGGAACUCUGUGCGGAACAUGUCUAGGAAUUCUGAGAGAUGAGUUCUUCAUUACUACAUGUAGUACAGUCCAAUGGUGUCAGCAGUAAAUAACUAUCUUGUAUAUAAGGUGAGCCAAGGAAAAUAUAAAAACAUGAAGCAUGAAAGCUUAUGUGAUUGACAGACUCCAAGCCACUCAGGAAAAGCCUGACAAAAACAGCCUAAGCACCGGGGAACACUUGGUUUGAACAGACUGUAGUAUGAUUUCAAGCAUCCAGGCUACAGGAAAGUACAGUAUUCAGCAGAGGUACGAGGCUCUGAACCCCUGGAGAGUCAAAGGAAAGGUGUCACUGCUGCGUCAGGAUGACAUGGCUAGUUAUGUUGACUUUAGCCUCGUACUGAUUAAUCUUUGGUUUGCUUGAUUUAUAUUCUGUAAUGGUGCCAUGCAUGUAUGGUAGUUAAUGAUUUAUUUUGUUUGAAUCAAGUAAACUUUUAAAAUCACAGUAUUUUCAUUAUUAUGAGAAGCUUAGGAAUGGCGAUAAACUUAAUACUGUU